AGAAUCAACGCUGGCGGCGUGCCUCAGACAUGCAAGUCGAACGCGAAAGUCCCCUUCGGGGGACAAGUAGAGUGGCGCACGGGUGAGUAACACGUAGGUAAUCUACCUUCGGAUGGGGAAUAACAAGUCGGAAACGGUUGCUAAUACCGCAUAAUGCAGCGGCACCGUAAGUGGUGACAGUUGUUAAAGCGGGGAUCGAAAGACCUCGCGUCUGAAGAGGAGCCUGCGGCGAUUAGCUAGUUGGUAAGGUAAUGGCUUACCAAGGCUACGAUCC
rnacentral:rRNA from 1 species